GCAUAAUACCGGAACACUGGGAAGUGUACUGGUAAAAACUCUGGUGCUUCAGGAGGGGCCUACGGCCGAUUAGCUAGUUGGCGGGGUAAGAGCCCACCAAGGCAGUGAUCGGUAGCUGGUCUGAGAGGACGAUCAGCCACACGGGAACUGAGACACGGUCCCGACUCCUACGGGGGGCAGCAGUGAGGAAUAUUGGGCAAUGGGCGGAAGCCUGACCCAGCAACGCCGCGUGGAGGAAGACGGCCUUCGGGUUGUAAACUCCUUUUACGGGGGAAGAGCGAGGACGGUACCCCGAGAAUAAGUCACGGCUAACUACGUGCCAGCAGCCGCGGUAAUACGUAGGUGACAAGCGUUAUCCGGAAUUACUGGGCGUAAAGCGCACGCAGGCGGCGCAUUAAGUCUGACGUGAAAUCUCCUGGCUUAACUGGGAGGGGUCGUUGGAAACUGAUGUGCUUGAGGCGGUGAGAGGGGGUGUAGAAUUCCCGGUGUAGUGGUGGAAUGCGUAGAUAUCGGGAGGAAUACCAGUGGC
rnacentral:rRNA from 1 species